rnacentral:rRNA from 1 species
UGGGGAAUUUUGGACAAUGGGCGCAAGCCUGAUCCAGCCAUGCCGCGUGAGUGAAGAAGGCCUUCGGGUUGUAAAGCUCUUUCGGCCGGGAAGAAAUCGUGUUCUCUAACAUAGGACAUGGAUGACGGUACCGGACUAAGAAGCACCGGCUAACUACGUGCCAGCAGCCGCGGUAAUACGUAGGGUGCGAGCGUUAAUCGGAAUUACUGGGCGUAAAGCGUGCGCAGGCGGUUUUGUAAGACAGACGUGAAAUCCCCGGGCUUAACCUGGGAACUGCGUUUGUGACUGCAAGGCUGGAGUACGGCAGAGGGGGGUGGAAUUCCACGUGUAGCAGUGAAAUGCGUAGAGAUGUGGAGGAACACCGAUGGCGAAGGCAGCCCCCUGGGCCUGUACUGACGCUCAUGCACGAAAGCGUGGGGAGCAAACA